rnacentral:RNase_P_RNA from 2 species
AACUGAAGGUGAUCGAGCCUACUAUGUAGGUUAGGAAAGUCCAUGCUAGCACAUACUGAGAUGUAUGUAGUGUUUGUGCCUAAGGAAAAAAUAACUUAGGGUAUCAGAAAUGAUAACGGCAUUUAAUGAUCUAAGGGAAACUAUGAUCUAGAAUGUAACGUGCCACAGAAACGAGUUAGUUAGAAAUAACUAAAUGAAACGCGGUAAACCCCUCAAGCUAGAAACCCAAAUUUGGUAGGGGCGUAUAAAGACAACUAAAUGAAGUUAGUCUUAAUGCUACUUAUGUAGAGAUAAAUGGUCACACUCAAAGAUUUGAGAACAGAACAUGGCUUAUGCA